rnacentral:rRNA from 1 species
GUCGAACGGACUCAUAUUGAAACCUAGUGAUGUAUGAGUUAGUGGCGGACGGGCGAGUAACGCGUGGAGAACCUGCCGUAUACUGGGGGAUAACACUUAGAAAUAGGUGCUAAUACCGCAUAAGCGCACAGCUUCGCAUGAAGCAGUGUGAAAAACUCCGGCGGUAUACGAUGGAUCCGCGUCUGAUUAGCUUGUUGGCGGGGUAAAGGCCCACCAAGGCGACGAUCAGUAGCCGGCCUGAGAGGGUGAACGGCCACAUUGGGACUGAGACACGGCCCAAACUCCUACGGGAGGCAGCAGUGGGGAAUAUUGCACAAUGGGGGAAACCCUGAUGCAGCGACGCCGCGUGAGUGAAGAAGUAUUUCGGUACGUAAAGCUCUAUCAGCAGGGAAGAAAAUGACGGUACCUGACUAAGAAGCCCCGGCUAACUACGUGCCAGCAGCCGCGGUAAUACGUAGGGGGCAAGCGUUAUCCGGAUUUACUGGGUGUAAAGGGAGCGUAGACGGCAGCGCAAGUCUGGAGUGAAAUCCCAUGGCUUAACCAUGGAACUGCUUUGGAAACUGUGCAGCUGGAGUGCAGGAGAGGUAAGCGGAAUUCCUAGUGUAGCGGUGAAAUGCGUAGAUAUUAGGAGGAACACCAGUGGCGAAGGCGGCUUACUGGACUGUAACUGACGUUGAGGCUCGAAAGCGUGGGGAGCAAACAGGAUUAGAUACCCUGGUAGUCCACGCUGUAAACGAUGAUUACUAGGUGUUGGGGGACCAAGGUCCUUCGGUGCCGUCGCAAACGCAUUAAGUAAUCCACCUGGGGAGUA